GUAGGGAAUCUUCGGCAAUGGACGAAAGUCUGACCGAGCAACGCCGCGUGAGUGAUGAAGGUUUUCGGAUCGUAAAACUCUGUUGUUAGAGAAGAAUGUUGAUUAGAGUGGAAAAUUAAUCAAGUGACGGUAUCUAACCAGAAAGGGACGGCUAACUACGUGCCAGCAGCCGCGGUAAUACGUAGGUCCCGAGCGUUGUCCGGAUUUAUUGGGCGUAAAGCGAGCGCAGGUGGUUUACUAAGUCUGAUGUAAAAGGCAGUGGCUCAACCAUUGUGUGCAAUGGAAACUGGUAGACUUGAGGGCAGUAGAGGGGAGUGGAAUUCCAUGUGUAGCGGUGAAAUGCGUAGAUAUAUGGAGGAACACCGGUGGCGAAAGCGGCUCUCUGGACAGUCACUGACACUGAGGCUCGAAAGCGUGGGUAGCAAACAGGAUUAGAAACCCCAGUAGUCC
rnacentral:rRNA from 1 species